rnacentral:lncRNA from 1 species
CACCUAAAUUCUUGAAUGUUAGAAGCACUUGAUAGGACUCUAGCUUUGUACUUGAUCACAUUUACUCAUGUGUUCCUCUGAAAAUCAUUACAUCACAGGUUAACCACCUUUUUAGUUUGCCCUAAAAUUUUCUCCUAUGCAUAAGCCCAAUGAACACGGAGAAAUGGUAAAUUUGUAUUAUGUUCAGUGAAAGGUUAUUCUUUUUAAUUCUAAAAAGGUGGGCAAGCUGAUUAUCAUUUAUAAUUUAAAGGUUAUAUUUGAUAAAGAAGGAGAUCGUCCUUCUGUGGUGAUCAUUUCUUCAAAUAGAGUAAAUUUUAAAAAUCACUUUAAGAAUCCAAUAGAGAACAACAAAGCCAUAUUGAGAUGCAGGUUUUAGGAAUUUGGUAGUAAUCCCUCACAAGGUCAGACUUGAUCUCCUGGACAAUCAGGGCAUGCUAGUCAGCUUUCAUGACUCAGCAAAGCUACAAAUUAUGUAUUUUGGCUUUUUGUGGAAAUUGCCAACCCUACAGAUAGCAAACGUCUCCUCGGUUGUCAAAAAGUAAGAGUAGUUUUUAGAAUUCUGCCUUUGGGUCUUGUAGAAUGAAAUAUUUACAAGAUUUGCUAUUUGUUAACAUUUUAGCUACUUCCUUGUUCCUUCAGUCUUGCUGCUGUGCACACCACCAUACCAGGAAUAUGAGGGAGAAAGCUAGCAAGACAGCUAAAUAAUUGGAAAUUCUGCUUGGAGGUUAGACUGUGUUGUAAAAUGGUACAGACAGUGCCUGGGCAUUUUCAUUGAUAGAAUCCUUGGAGUCGUUUGGGGUUCGUUGUCAAAUGAUGUCUGGCAGUGCAGCAGCAUGAUAGGAAGUGAAGAAGGAAUGCUUAUUUGCAGAGGAAGGAUGACUUUUUUUUGGUUUGAGGCAUGUCAAACUGAUGGUAAAACCUUUUUUAUCCCUAAGUUUAGUUUUUAAUGUUGCUGCAUAAUUAAAUUGGGUUUUUAAAAGUAGAUCAUUGGAUUUGGAGGCAAAGGACUUAAGGUCUGGGCCCCGUUUACUAGCUUUGGCUUCCCUGGACUUUUUGGAUAUUAAAGAGUCAAAUGAGAUUAUGAAUAAGCUUCUUUCUUGGGGCCUGUGGGGAGGUGUUGGGAAGUAACUCAUCUCUGAAAAUUGUUGGCAGCAGUGGAAUUGGCAUGGAAUUUUCAACAGAAGGCAGAUGUAGCUAGUUGUCUAAAGUAGAAAAUAGAAGAUGGUAAAGGUUAGAAUGGAAGUUUGUCUCGUUCCUUCUUGGGAGUGCUGUAUCAUCUAUAGUCAUCAUCCUGCCAUGUCACUUGUCAGUGUGCCUGUUUGUGUGUCUCGGUGGUCUGGUUACCAUAGUGCACUUGUACAGCAUCAAACCACAGAACCUGGUGAUGUUAGUCACGCCUCUAUAACCUGUACUUUUGUUAUUCAGAAAUAUGACUUCUAAGUGUUUUCUGGUCUAGUGCUUGGUGGUCCCUCCUCAUUAAUCUUGUUUUUCAGAAACUCUCUGGCAUCCUUGCUUGUUUAUUCUGUUUAAACUUUUAACAUCAAAUUGUUUAGCUUCCCCGCUCUGCUGCAACAACCAUCCUGAUAAUCAUAAUCAUUUUUUAUUGAAAUCACUUUCAGUUGAACUCUCCUGUACAAGAACGUGAUGUGUAUCUCUUCCUGUUCCCUUUUCUUUUUUUUUUUUUUGAGACAGUCUUGCCCUGUCACCCAGACUGGAGUGUAGUGGCGCAAUUGUAUUUUUAGUAGAGAUGGGGUUUCAUCAUGUUGCCCAGGCUGGUCUCAAACUCCUGACCUCAAGUGAUCUGCCUACCUCGGCCUCCCAAAGUGCUAGGAUUAUAGGUGUGAGCCACCGUGCCCUGCCCCACUUUUUAUUUUUGUUUUUAUUUUUGAAAUGGGGUCUCACUCUGUCACCCAGGCUGGAGUGCAGUGGCGCGAUCUCUGUUCACUGCAACCUCCACCUCCCGGGUUCAAGUGAUUCUCCUGCCUCAGCCUCCCAAGUAGCUGGGACUACAGGCUCAUGCCACCACACCCAGCUAGUUUUUGUAUUUUUAGUAGAGACAGAAUUUCGCCAUGAUGACCAGGACCUCAGGUGAUCCACCUGCCUCAGCCUCCCAAAUAGCUGGGACUACAGGC